rnacentral:rRNA from 1 species
UCCCGGCGCCACAAGUGGCAAUCGCUUUUAUUGGGCCUAAAGCGUCCGUAGCAGGUUUUGUAAAUCUUUUGUGAAAGCGUUGCACUCAAUGUAACGAACGGCAAGAGACACUGCAAAACUAGGAACCGGGAGGGGUUAGGGGUAUUCUUGGGGGAGCGGUAAAAUGUUAUAAUCCCAAGAGGACCACCCGUGGCGAAAGCGCCUGACCAGAACGGAUUCGACUGUGAGGGACGAAAGCUAGGGGAGCAAUCCG